GAUGAACGCUGGCGGCGUGCCUAAUACAUGCAAGUCGAGCGAACGGACGAGAAGCUUGCUUUUCUGAUGUUAGCGGCGGACGGGUGAGUAACACGUGGAUAACCUACCUAUAAGACUGGGAUAACUUCGGGAAACCGGAGCUAAUACCGGAUAAUAUUUUGAACCGCAUGGUUCAAAAGUGAAAGACGGUCUUGCUGUCACUUAUAGAUGGAUCCGCGCUGCAUUAGCUAGUUGGUAAGGUAACGGCUUACCAAGGCAACGAUGCAUAACCGACCUGAGAGGGUGAUCGGCCACACUGGAACUGAGACACGGUCCAGACUCCUACGGGAGGCAGCAGUAGGGAAUCUUCCGCAAUGGGCGAAAGCCUGACGGAGCAACGCCGCGGGAGUGAUGAAGGUCUUCGGAUCGUAAAACUCUGUUAUUAGGGAAGAACAUAUGUGUAAGUAACUGUGCACAUCUUGACGGUACCUAAUCAGAAAGCCAAGGCUAACUACGUG
rnacentral:rRNA from 1 species